AGAGUUUGAUCAUGGCUCAGAUUGAACGCUGGCGGAAUGCUUUACACAUGCAAGUCGAACGGCAGCACGGGGGCAACCCUGGUGGCGAGUGGCGAACGGGUGAGUAAUACAUCGGAACGUGCCCAGUCGUGGGGGAUAACUACGCGAAAGCGUAGCUAAUACCGCAUACGAUCUACGGAUGAAAGCGGGGGACCGUAAGG
rnacentral:rRNA from 1 species